rnacentral:rRNA from 1 species
UCGAGAAUCUUUCACAAUGGGGGCAACCCUGAUGGAGCGACGCCGCGUGGAGGAUAAGGUCUUCGGAUUGUAAACUCCUGUCAUGCGUGAACAAGGCAGCCGGGCUAAUAACCUGAGCUGAUUGAUGGUAACGCAAGAGGAAGAGACGGCUAACUCUGUGCCAGCAGCCGCGGUAAUACAGAGGUCUCAAGCGUUGUUCGGAAUCACUGGGCGUAAAGGGUGCGUAGGUGGCGUGGUAAGUCAGAUGUGAAAGCCCGGGGCUCAACCUCGGAAUUGCAUCCGAUACUGCCGUGCUAGAGUACUGAAGAGGUGACUAGAAUUCUAGGUGUAGCAGUGAAAUGCGUAGAUAUCUAGAGGAAUACCAAAGGCGUAGGCAGGUCACUGGGCAGUUACUGACACUGAGGCACGAAGGCCAGGGGAGCAAACGGG